CCGAGUGAUCUAUCCAUGAGCAGGUUGAAGCUGUGGUAACACACAGUGGAGGACCGAACCCGUUGACGUUGAAAAGUCUUGGGAUGACUUGUGGAUAGGGGUGAAAGGCCAAUCAAACUCGGAAAUAGCUCGUACUCCCCGAAAUGCAUUUAGGUGCAGCGUUGUAAUAGUUUUAUAGAGGUAGAGCUACUGAUUGGAUGCGGGGGUUUCACCACCUACCAAUUCCUGAUAAACUCCGAAUGCUAUAAAAUGUUUUACAGCAGUGAGGGCAUGGGUGCUAAGGUCCAUGUCCGAGAGGGAAACAACCCGGACCACCAGCUAAGGUCCCUAAGUGUAUACUAAGUUGAUUAAACGAGGUUUGACUGCCCAGACAGCUAGGAUGUUGGCUUGGAAGCAGCCAUUCAUUUAAAGAGUGCGUAACAGCUCACUAGUCGAGCGGUCGAGCAUGGAUAAUAAUCGGGCAUAAGUAUAUCACCGAAGCUGUGGCAUUGCAAGAUGGGUAGGGGAGCAUUCUAUAUGCGUCGAAGGUAGACUGUGAGGUUUGCUGGAGCGUAUAGAAAAGAAAAUGUAGGCAUAAGUAACGACAAUGCAGGUGAGAAACCUGCACACCGAAAGACUCAGGUUUCCUCAGCUAUGCUAAUCAGCUGAGGGUUAGUCGGGACCUAACGCGAACCCGAAUGGGGUAGUGGAUGGACAACGGGUUAAUAUUCCCGUACCCGCCGGCGCUAAAAGUGACGGAGAACAAAAGAUAUUGCGUACUGACGGAAAUGUACGUUGAAACCAUUGUAGAGGUGGUGAUAGUACACCAAGGCUUCGGCUGCGGUGAUAAUAUAUCGGAUGAUCUUCCAAGAAAAACAAGCCAGGCGGCCCGUACCGUAAACCGACACAGGUAGUUGGGAUGAGAAUUCUAAGGUGCUCGAGAGAUUCAUGGCUAAGGAACUAGGCAAAAUUGGCCCGUAACUUCGGGAGAAGGGUCGCCCACAGUAAUGUGGGCCGCAGUGAAAAGGUCCAGGCGACUGUUUAUCAAAAACACAGGACUCUGCUAAGUCGAAAGACGAUGUAUAGGGUCUGACACCUGCCCGGUGCCGGAAGGUUAAGUGGAGAUGUCAUCUUCGGAGAAGCAUUAAAAUGAAGCCCCGGUAAACGGCGGCCGUAACUAUAACGGUCCUAAGGUAGCGAAAUUCCUUGUCGGGUAAGUUCCGACCUGCACGAAUGGUGUAACGAUCUGGACACUGUCUCAGCCAUGAGCUCGGUGAAAUUGUAGUAUCGGUGAAGAUGCCGAUUACCCGCUACGGGACGAAAAGACCCCGUGCACCUUUACUAUAGCUUCGUAUUGACCUUGGAUAAGUAAUGUGUAGGAUAGGUGGGAGACUUUGAAAUGGCGUCGCCAGGCGCUGUGGAGUCAUUGUUGAAAUACCACCCUUG
rnacentral:rRNA from 1 species